rnacentral:lncRNA from 1 species
UCAAAAAUAGUUAGAUUGAAAUGGAUUUGUUUCAUAUAAAAUAUUCAAGCUUUUGGAAACUUGUGGCUGUGAGGCAAGGCAAGCAAAAGGCAAUGUCCCUCCAAUGAACAAAUGUAAUAGUGAUCUCCAGGGCUGGUCAAGUUGAUGGUUGCAGGGCCGGUUUUUAUGAUGGAUGUUGGGUUACCAACGUGACAAUGAUCGUAGUCAUCCUUAGACACUUCUGUUACAUCAUGUGUUCCGGUGGGAAAGUCAAAGACUAGAGAGUCACCAACAAUGAACAUCCUUUGAGAUACCCAGUCAGUAUAGAGACUUGGGCUGCUAGGAAUAACCCAGCCAAAGACGUCGCCCACCGUAUGUUGUGUCGCCGAGCUACAAAAUGCCAUGGAUGCAACCAUGGCGAUCAAAACAACCAUAUUAAAAU